UAGGGAAUAUUGGUAAUGGGCGAAAGCCUGAACCAGCAACGCCGCGUGUGCGAUGAAGGCCUUCGGGUUGUAAAGCACUUUUGACCGGGACGAGGAAGGACGGUACCGGUGGAAUAAGCCUCGGCUAACUACGUGCCAGCAGCCGCGGUAAAACGUAGGAGGCGAGCGUUAUCCGGAUCUACUGGGUGUAAAGCGCGUGCAGGCGGUUAGCUAAGUUGGGUGUGAAAGCUCCUGGCUCAACUGGGAGAGGUCGCUUAAGACUGGCUGACUCGAGGAUGGUAGGGGAAGGUGGAAGUCCGGGUGUAGUGGUGAAAUGCGUAGAUAUCCGGAGGAACACCAGUGGCGAAGGCGGCCUUCUGGACCAUCACUGACGCUCAGACGCGAAAGCUAGGGUAGCA
rnacentral:rRNA from 1 species